GGCCUAGUAGCACAGUGGUAGUUGCAACUCCCUAGUAAGGAGUAGGUCGAGGGUUCGAUUCCCUCCUGGGCCU
rnacentral:tRNA from 1 species